GCCUGGGUGGUUCAGUUGGUUGAGCAUCUGACUUCGACUCAGGUCAUGAUCUCAUGGUUUGUGAGUUCAAGCCCCACAUGGGGCU
rnacentral:tRNA from 1 species